ensembl:lncRNA
GAUGCUGCUCUUGCACUUGAGAUGACAUCCUCUUGCAACAAAAGUGGUGAUAUCCCAGAAGGAGAGAUUCGUGGUUUUGGUCAUUUACUUCUGAACUGCCUGCGUUUUCUGAGAAAGGCCUUGCAGAAGACGAAGGAAAGACACGACUUUCAAAUGUUUCAAAGGAAGAUUGAACAAGCGCCCCUCCCCAGCCCUUAUCCCAUCACCUUUCAGGUCCACUGAUGCUAUUUCAAGAUAGUGAUAUUGUUCUUGUUAUGAGAAUGUGUAUUUACUGUUAGUAGAUUGUAUUUUAAAAGUUACCCAAGAGUAAAAGUGAGUGAAAAAAAGGGAGAGAGAGAGAAACAUUAUAAAAGGUUAUUUAUGCAUUGAACUUUGUGUGUUUUCUGUAUAAAUGUGUACAUUUAUGUAGGAGAGGGCUUGGUGGAAGUAGGUGAUAAGAACUAGGAUUGGUUGAAGAAAAUGAAAAAACAAGAAUCAGUAAGAGAAAAUGUUUCCUUUACCCUAUUGUAACUAUAAAAACUCAUUAAAAAUCUUGCUUGUUUCUAGGCUUUAAGGAGAUAUGUGACUGCUCUCUAUGGAUAGACGUAUGUCUGGUUUCUGUGAUUAUUGUUGAUGUUUGAUCAGUGUAUUAUGGGAAUCUGGCCUCUUUGCUGAUCUUCUAAGAACCACGCUAAUGCAAAUUUCGCAAAGAAACCUUUUAUUUCCAAUGACUUAUACAACUCUGGCAUUGGAUAGCCCUCUGUUUUGUAAGAUUCUGGUGCUAAGCUUCCUGUGUGCCCGAACAUGACUGAAACAAGAGUGGUGAAGGAGAAUUUUGUAGAUAUAUUUGGAGUUGAGUACUGCGCUUCUCAUUGAAAAAGAGGUAUACAUACAAAAUUAGGAGACCGGAAGCAGGGUCACCAAUUGAUCAGAACUGAUUCACUCUUCUCUGGGCCAGCUGCUACUGACUCCCCAGCUGAAGAGGCUUGAAGGAGGGCCUGUCCGCUGUUAAGGACUUCACUGCUGCCCACCGAUAGUGUGAAGGUGAUAUUAGAACCCAGAGAUGUUCCUCUCUCCUUGUUUCCUCAGACACUUAGCCUUCCCAAAAGCUUUUCACCAAGGUGCAAAAUCAUUUACCUACAGUCCACGCAUCUUUUCUGAUGCACUGGGCCACAACUUUUAGGUGGGAGGGCUAAGUCAAUUUGACUCCAGGUUUUUGGUUCCUGGGUUUCCAGUUAUGCUCUGCAUUUAUCAUUUUAGAGAAUGGUUGUUAAGGGGACCAGAAUUUGUGUGGGGUUUUUUUGCCUUAACCAAUUAACAGUGUGUUGUUUUUUCCAAAAGACAUUGACUAGAACUUAGGCCAAGAAUUUCACUAGCACUUUUCUCUAUUACUCUGAGGAGCUUAAUAAUGAAAUUCUGACCAUCCACACUUGGGCCUCAAAAGAGUAGGACGUUCGGGAGGAGGCAAGGUGAGGAGGCUCCAGUGAAGAAGUCUAGAGGUGGUUCAAUUACAGUUUGGGCUUGAUUCUGAGGGUCUCUCUUUAACCCCUGACCAGGGAUUUGACUAGCUUGGUAUGGCUCACACACUGAACAUAAUUAGUGUAUAGGCAUUAAGAGGUUCCCAUCAAAAUGUUACUUUAUUUUCACUUUGAAAAAUAUUACCAACAGACUCCACAGCAUGGAAAGCAGGCAAUACUUAAAAGCCAAGUGGUUCUCCAAUUUAUUUCAAUGUUAUUUUUAUUUAAAGAUCGGUGUGAAAGUAUCACCUCAAUGUCUGAGGGUUUAGGAUCAGUUACCUUCUCAAUUCUAUAUUUGCUUUUGGUAUCUUUAGCCUAGCAAAACAUUUUGUGAACUCUAGAAUUAAGAAACUAAAAAUUAUUUACUUUGACACUUGAAGCUCACAUUUGGUUAAAACCUUAUCAGAACUACUUGAAAGAGAAGAUUUUGCAAACUGGGGCUAUAGAUACUGAACCAAAAUCAUCCCUUUUUUUCAGUUUAAGUUUACUUUGUCUCUCCUUACAAGGAUAUGAUUAAGCCACAUAUUAACAGGAAAUAUAUGUAUGUACUGGUAGGGAGAAAUGGGCUUGCUGUGUGUAUGUAUGUUUUAAAAUUAAUAAAUAUUAUAUCUUACUGAUCUCCAUAAAUGGUUUUUAUUUGCAUUUAUUUAAUUAAAG